rnacentral:rRNA from 1 species
UACGUAGGGUGCGAGCGUUGUCCGGAAUUAUUGGGCGUAAAGGGCUCGUAGGCGGUUUGUCGCGUCGGGAGUGAAAACCUUGGGCUUAACUCAGGGCUUGCUUUCGAUACGGGCAGACUAGAGGUAUGCAGGGGAGAACGGAAUUCCUGGUGUAGCGGUGAAAUGCGCAGAUAUCAGGAGGAACACCGGUGGCGAAGGCGGUUCUCUGGGCAUUACCUGACGCUGAGGAGCGAAAGUGUGGGGAGCGAACAGG